rnacentral:rRNA from 1 species
ACUCCUACGGGAGGGCAGCAGUGGGGAAUAUUGCACAAUGGGCGCAAGCCUGAUGCAGCCAUGCCGCGUGUAUGAAGAAGGCCUUCGGGUUGUAAAGUACUUUCAGCAGUGAGGAAGGUGGGUAUGUUAAUAGCAUAUUCAUUUGACGUUAGCUGCAGAAGAAGCACCGGCUAACUCCGUGCCAGCAGCCGCGGUAAUACGGAGGGUGCGAGCGUUAAUCGGAAUUACUGGGCGUAAAGCGCAUGCAGGUGGUUUGUUAAGUCAGAUGUGAAAGCCCGGGGCUCAACCUCGGAAUUGCAUUUGAAACUGGCAAACUAGAGUACUGUAGAGGGGGGUAGAAUUUCAGGUGUAGCGGUGAAAUGCGUAGAGGAUCUGAAGGAAUACCGGUGGCGAAGGNGGCCCCCCUGGACAGAUACUGACACUCAGAUGCGAAAAGGCUGGGGGAGCAAACAGGAUUAGAUACCCCUGGUAGGCGUAG